rnacentral:misc_RNA from 1 species
GGAAGGAUCAUUAACAAAUCAUAUGGAUGGAGUGUGGGUGUGUAGUGCGUGGGGCGCGUGGCAUGUGAAAGCAUGCCGUGCUCACCACGUACGCUACUGCACACCGCCUCCAAACAGAAACCCGAACCCGUGCAGUAAAACGCCGGGUUUUGGCUGCGCUAGUCCUUGCGGAUUGGUGCAAAUAAACGCUUAUUUUGUUUGACAGUAAAAAGUGAUCUUUAAAAAAUGACAACUUUUAACAAUGGAUCUCUUGGCUCUUGCAACGAUGAAGAACGCAGUGAAAUGCGAAAAGUAAUGCGAUUUGCAUGAAUCUGUGAGUCAUCAAGUCUUUGAACGCACCUUGCACCGUAUGAGCAAUUGUACGGUAUACCUGUUUGAGAAUCGUAAAACCCCUCUCUCUCCGUUCUGCGGAGGGAGGAUGUGUCGAUUGAAGAGCUUUGCUUUUCAUUGAUCAAAUGUAUCAGGUUAUCGGCCCAAGCUGGUGGUCCCGAGACACUGUGUGCUAGAGACAAAAGGAAGGGAGAGAGCAAUCUCUGUUUUCCUCCAGUCUUCUCAUGGUGCGUCUUGGGGUCCAAUUACAAAGCUGGCUUGAGACUAGACCUUAACGUGUGUAAAAACACAACAUACCAUUCUUUGAUCUCAAAUCAGGUAAGGCUACCCGCUGAACUUAAGCAUAUCAGUAAGCGGAGGAAAAGAAACUAACAAGGAUUCCCCUAGUAACGGCGAGCGAAGCGGGAAGAGUUCAAAUUUAAAAUCUGGGCGGCUUUGCUGCUCCGAAUUGUAAUUUAAAGAGGCGUUAUCUAGGCCUAGUUCGAUGCUCAAGUCCCUUGGAAUAGGGCGUCACAGAGGGUGAGAACCCCGUCUGGGCAUUGGGCUAGGUCUUCCAUGAGGCGCUCUCUACGAGUCGAGUUGUUUGGGAAUGCAGCUCAAAAUGGGUGGUAAAUUUCAUCUAAAACUAAAUACUGGCAAGAGACCGAUAGCGAACAAGUACCGUGAGGGAAAGAUGAAAAGCACCUUGAAAAGGGAGUUAAACAGUGCGUGAAAUUGUUAAAAGGGAAACGAUUGAGACCAGUAUUACUGCUGGCCGUUCAGCGUCGCGUUGGGGCAACCCUGCGUGGCGUGCACUCGGUCGGCGGUGAGUCAGCAUCAGUUUGGGCUCUUGGAGAGAGGCUGGAGGAAGAUGGGGUAGGCCUUCGGGUCGACUCUUUAUAGACUCUGGCUGGCACAGGGAGUCUGGACUGAGGAGUUUGCGACUGCAGUACUCUUGGUUCGAGCCCGGUUCCCAUGUCCGCGGACUACAUGUAGACCUCGGCCGCAAGAACAGGAGGUAGGGCCAAGCAUGCAGGUCAAGGAUGCUGACGAAAUGGUCUUAAACGACCCGUCUUGAAACACGGACCAAGGAGUCUAACACAUGUGCGAGUAUUUGGGUGGCAAACCCGAGUGCGUAAUGAAAGUGAUCUGGGUGAGAGCCUUGCCUCCGUGCUUGGUGCAUCAUCGGCCGAACCUUGACGUCUUCUGAUAGGUUUGAGUAAGAGCAUAUUUGUUGGGACCCGAAAGGUAGUGAACUAUGCCUGGAUAGGAUGAAGCCAGAGGAAACUCUGGUGGAGGUCCGUAGCCGUUCUGACGUGCAAAUCGAUGGUCAAAUCUGGGUAUAGGGGCGAAAGACUAAUCGAACUACCUAGUAGCUGGUUCCCUC